CGAUCGAGGUAAAUUUCAUACCCCCGACUCGUUUUUCCACGCUAAUUUUCCCAGUGGCCAAAUCGGAGCCAAAAUCCCGGCCAAACGGCCGAAAGCCAGCGGCGCCGCCGCGCCCCUUCUCGGUUUUUGCCUCCGAUGAGGCCCUUCCCGGCCUCCGUUUAAUGCAAUUUUUAUAUCACCGUGAUCACCAUUCUUUUCUCUACAGAUUGAUCGGAGGCGAAUCACCAAAACACGAACUUCACCGGAGAGCCGCCGCACCCGAGAGCACCGCCGCCUGUAAGCUUCGAUUUUCCGUAAAUUUUCGGCCCCCUGAGGGCCGUUGGGU
rnacentral:lncRNA from 1 species